CACGUAGGGGGCAAGCGUUGUCCGGAUUUAUUGGGCGUAAAGAGCUCGUAGGUGGUUCGGUAAGUCGGGUGUUAAACCCCCAGGCUCAACCUGGGGACGCCACUCGAUACUGCUGUGACUAGAGUCCGGUAGGGGAGCGUGGAAUUCCGGGUGUAGCGGUGAAAUGCGUAGAUAUCCGGAGGAACACCGGUGGCGAAGGCGGCUUCCUGGACCGAUUACUGACGCUGAGGCGCGAAAGCUAGGGGAGCAAACGGG
rnacentral:rRNA from 1 species